UUAUGGCCAUAUCACAUGAAAACACUGGUUCCCAUACAAUCACUAAAGUUAAGUAACAUCAAGCUUGGUCAAUACCUACAUGGGUGACCACUUGGGAAUACCAAAUGCUGUAAG